rnacentral:lncRNA from 1 species
UGGGGGGGGGGACGCAGACCCCAUCAGUUUAGGUUCAGGUCCUGAGAGGACACCUCAAGGCUUCCCUGUCAGGGGACAGAGGACAGGGGACGGGGGACGGGGUCUGAGAGGCUGAGGGCUGAAGCUGACACACGUUUCAGUGGCUGCUUCCUUCGCCUACAGAGACGGUGACAAUAUCCAGGGACACCCAGGACACCAUCUCUGGAGAACCUCCCGGGGACGUCAUCACCAAGGACCCCUUCCAGGACAUGACGGGGCAGCCCUUCACCUUCGACUACACAGACAGCACACACGUCCCGGCCAGCGAUGAAGGUGUGCUGGGACCUGGAGCCAUCACAGCCAUCGUUAUCGCCGUCUUCCUGGGAGCAUCUGUCCUCCUGGCCCUCAUCAUCAUCACACUCAGAAAGUUCACCGCUUCCUAAAGUCAAAACUUCUGUGUGUGUGUGUGUGUGUGUGUGUGUGUGUGUGUGUCUGUGUGUGUCUGUGUGUGUGUGCGUGUGUGUGUGUGUGUGUGUGUGUGCGCCCAGGCAGGGCCCUGAUUUGCGCUCUUGAACGCCCCUCUGGUCGCUCCGAACGUUCCUGUUUUCAGUUUCCUUCAUAUAUUUGUUUUUGUCCCAGUUGGCAGAGUUUGAAGAGGCUCUUUGUGCCUUCGUUUGCUUUUAUUUCUGCAUGUUGGUGCUUUUUUUUGUUAGUCGUGUUUGCUGAAAUUUGUGGGUUAUCCAAUUUUAAAAAAUUGGAAGUAGAGCAAAUAUGACUCAGAUGUUACCAAGUGUGAAAGGUUGUGUAGUUUAUUUUAUGGGUCAUUUUAAUGGAAAUAAAUGGAUUUUAGUUUCUGGGAUCUUUUCACACAACAGAAUCACCAGUACUCCCUUAAUUUGAACACAAUAAAGAGAAAAUAAAAGUGAUCCUUUAACAGGUUCUUCCGCCUUCUUUUGUAAAAUGAAAAAUGGUCUUUUUUCUCUUUUUCUUUGAUCUCUGUGACCUUUCAAUCAGUGGUGAUUACCUGUUCUCUGGUUCACUGAAACCCGGAAGCCUUAAAAUAAUCAGAAAUAAC